UGGGGACUGAGUGGGUUGCUUGGCGCCUUCCGCAGUGGCGCAGCGAGUGUCUGUCUGAGAAUUCCUAGUCUCUCUCUCUAGAAUGCAGGAGCAACUGGACAGAGCCUAAUAGGGAGCCCAGUGCUCAGACCUGAGAGCACAGCUAGCACCAAAUUAAGAAGAGCUUCCAGAUCUGUGUUCUAUUGAUGGAUUUUAAAAUUGAAUACACUUGGGAUGGUUUUCCAGUGAGGCAUGAGCCAGUGUGUAUCAGGCUGAGUCCAUGUGAGCAGGGAGUGAAGAUGGGGGUUAGGGCUCCAUUUUUCAAUGAUCCUCCAGCCCCUCUUGGAGAAGCAGGAAAGCCUUUCAGUGAACUGUGGAAUUACGAAGUUGUGGAAGCAUUUUUCUUAAAUGAUACAACUGAGCAGUAUUUAGAAGUUGAACUUUGUCCGUCUUACUGUAUAGCUCUGUCCAGUCUGGAACUCAUGGAGAUUAAAGGUGUGAGCCACUAUGCCCAGCUGUCUUGGAAUUUCUUUGAACUUCAGUACUUACUUGACAUGGACAGCAUUUAGUUCUUUUACUCUCUGGAAGAAGAAAUGUUUGGAAAAAAGAGCUUGCGUUAUCAUUCAAAGUGUCCAGAGGAGAGACUAAUUGGGAAGGUGAAGCUUAUCUUCCUUGGAGUUAUUUUCCACCUAAUGUGACACAGUUCAACUCAUUUGCAAUUCAUGGAUCAAAUGAUAGAGUUUAUGAAGCACUUUACCCUGUGCCACAGCAUGAGCUGCAACAAGGACAAAAACCUGACUUCCAUCGUCUAGAAUAUUUCAAACCUUUUGGUUUUACCACACUUCUUGGAGAAGAAUGGAAGCAGCCAGCAUCCGACUUGUGGCUACUAGAGAAACCCUACACGUAGGAGUAUAACCAACAGUGUCACUCAUUUCUCCUCUGUAUCUUUUAAGGUAAUCUAAUAAGACACAUAAACACAUUUCAACAACAAACAUUUUAACAGAGAUCACUGAAAUGCAGUAUCUCUGUGGCAAAUUGUAUGUAGUAAACAAAGAAAUAGAAACUCUGUAUAACAUAAAAUAAUUUUUACUUAAAUAUCCUUUCCACCCUUGAAACCAGUACAAAACAAUAAUCUAUUUUACUUAAUGAGACCUCCUAUGUCUGUUAAGGCAUCAAGAUAGAAGAGUUAUGUAACUAGAUAUUUUUACUGUGUAGGAAGAAAUGAAAUAGUCUUGAAUUAAUGAAAUGGAGUUAAUACUUUUUCUUACAGAUAAAUGAUAUUUUAUUAAUGUUGCUAAGCAAGAUGUGAGAAACCUUUCAUUUGAUUUUCGAAGUGUCAAUCCUGGUUGAAGAUAGUUUCCAAUAUAAUUUAUCAGUACCCCUCUGUCACAUAAAUGAGUCAUGCAGACAAAAACUGAACAAAAGGAGCCUAAGAGUGAAACUGUACCACAGAUAAAACUAGACGCAGCUACGGAGUGUUCCACCAACAGCUGCAGAAUGAGCUCUAUUUUCAGAAGCUUAUCAAACAUGUUCCAGAAUAAGACCAGUAACACAUUAGUUGCGAUUCAGAUAGCUGUAGCUACUUGGGUUUAUUUAUACUAGAAGACUUUUAGAUCUGAUAAACAAAUUCAGCCAAGUGGCACCCAACACAGUCAGAAUACAUACAAAAAUAAUAGAUUUUCUACACCCCACUACCAACCUGCUGAGAAAUCAGGAAAGCAAUCUUCUCUCAGCAAAAACAAUAUUUAGGAACACGCCUGUGUGCUAGUUACUUUUCUCAUUAUAGUUAAAAAGAUAAUUGAUAGAAGCAAGUCAGUGAAGGAAGGUUUUAUAUUGGCUCACAGUGCUGGAUACUCUUCAUCAUUAUGGGGAAACAUGGCCACAGGAAUGUGAGGUGGCUGGUCACAUAUGUCUACAGUUAAAAAAAAACAGAGAGAUGAAUGGUGUGCUUGGCUCACUUUCUCAUUUUCAUUCAGCCCUGGACCCUGUCCCAUGGAAUGAUGUAGACCUCAUUCUGGGUUUGCUUUCCAUUCUCAAACCUUUUUCUAAACAUUCACAAAGACAUAUUUAUGAGUGCAGCUCCUAGGUUAUUUUAACUGCACUUAAGCUGACAGUGAGAUUAGUCAUCAUAUCUUGCUGAGGUGGUGAAAGGCUUCUACAAUGAAAGUUACAGAACUCUGGAGAAAGAAAUUUAGGAAGACACUAGAAGAUAAAAAGACAUUCCAUGUUCUUGAAUCAGCAGAUUUAGUAUUGGGGGAAUGGCCAUAUGAAAACGAGCUAUCUAGAAGUUUAUAUGAUCAUCUUCAAAAUUUAAAUGAGAUUCUUGACAUAACUAGACAGUAUCCUAAAAUCACAAAAGCCUAUAAGGCAAAGAUGUCCUGAGUACCAAGAACAUUAUUGGAAGUUCCCAAUAUUUGAUUUUAAGUUAUACUAUAGAGUUGUAGUAAGAAAUGGGACCAUCAUAAAAGCAAACAGUAGACCAAUGAACUAGGGCAGAGGAUCCAAAAAUUACCCUGCACAGCCAUAGAUAUGUAAAUUUUGACUAAGGAAUAAAAAACACUCAUGAGAAAAAAUUUCCUCAGCCAUUGAUGCUGGGAAAAUUGUAUAUUCCUAUGGAACACUAGAGCUAAAUCCCCAUAUCCCACCCUGUACACAAAUCAGUCCCAAGACCUUAAUGUAAGAUCUGAAACAUUGAAACCAAAAGAAGACAUAAGGAAAAUGUAAAGACAGGCCGUGACUUUAGGAAUAUAACUCCAUUGACUCUGGAAAUAAAAGAAUCAACAAAUUGGAUUUCAUCAAAUUAAAAAGCUGCACAGGAAAGGAGAUAAUUAAUGAAGUGAAGAGAGAGACUAUAACAGGGAGAAUCAGAGGCUUAACAUCUAGCAUAUAUGAAGAACUUAGAAAAGCAACACCAAAGCAAGUCAGGGCAAAGUGCAAUCAAUGAGUGGGCAGAUCAUCUACACAGUUCUCAAAAGAACUUGUUCAGAUAGCUGAUGACUAUUAAAAAAAGUUAGUGUCUUUAGGUAUUAGGAAAAUUCAAGUUAAAACUGUAUUGAGAUUUCAUUUCAUUUCAGUAAAAAUGACUAUUGUGAAGAAAGCAACAAAUGCUGGUGAGGAUAAGGAGAAAGAGCUCCAAUCCUCUAUUCUUGGGCACUUACAUUAGUGUUGUCAACUGUGGAGAAGGACUGAAAUUAGAGCAGCAUAUGAUCCAGCUCUACCGUUUUGAGUACAUCUCCCAAGGGAGUCAGAAUCAGCAUAGCUGUGUUCAUCACACUUCAAGCUACAGUGUCAGUCUAGGUGUCUGUCUACUGAUGGACGAGUGGCUAAAGAAAACAGGCGCGUGCACACGCAUGAGACCAACCCAGAGAAGUGGCAUGCCAUUCAGCCACAAAGAGAACAAAAUUAUGUCAUUAUUAGAAAAAUGGAUAGGACUAGAUACUGUGUUAAACUAAGAUAAGUCAGUCUCUGAAACAUAAAAGCUCAUGUUUUUUCCUCCUGUAUGAGAGUUAAAAGAAAAUAAACUACCUGAAUAUUCAAGAGGAGACUAUUAGAGAAGUGGAAGAUUUGAGGAGAGAGGAAAGAUGGGCAAAAAAGAUGGGAUGGGAUAUAAAAAAUUUCUGUAGUUGUAUACAUGGAUGAAUCUGCCAAUGUUAAAUCCACUCUUCUGUGUAAUUAAAACUGCAUUGAGUUUUUAUCUUAUUCCAGUAAAACUGGCUGUAUUCAAGACAGCAACAAAUGCUGGUGAGGGUAAAAAGAAGAAAGUUCUAUCUACUAAUUAUAUUAGUAUUCUCAACUGUGGAAAUCAAUAUGGAGAUACACAAAUUAAACAUUUCUGGUCUAGAA